UACGUAGGGUGCAAGCGUUGUCCGGAAUUAUUGGGCGUAAAGAGCUCGUAGGCGGUUUGUCGCGUCUGCUGUGAAAACCCGAGGCUCAACCUCGGGCCUGCAGUGGGUACGGGCAGACUGGAGUGCGGUAGGGGAGAUUGGAAUUCCUGGUGUAGCGGUGGAAUGCGCAGAUAUCAGGAGGAACACCGAUGGCGAAGGCAGAUCUCUGGGCCGUAACUGACGCUGAGGAGCGAAAGCGUGGGGAGCGAACAGG
rnacentral:rRNA from 1 species